GGUAUCAAGCAAUGAAACCUUGAAACAAUCUUAGGACACCUUUUGACAGUGUUCUUAUCUUGGGAAUGAGAAGUCAUUUAUUUUCCGAUGAUUCU